UUUUUCGAGACAGGGUUUCUCUGUGCAGCUUUGCGCCUUUCCUGGGACUCACUUGGUAGCCCAGGCUGGCCUCGAACUCACAGAGAUCCGCCUGGCUCUGCCUCCCGAGUGCUGGGAUUAAAGGCGUGCGCCACCACCGCCCGGCUACUAAAGUAAACUCAAGCCGCUGUACAGUAUGAGUUUGUGGGAUGGAACACGAGCAAGGGAAAAGUAGCCGCUUCUAGGACACAAGAUCGUGCACCACUGGAGGAUUAUGGUAGUGUCAAUGAUGGUUACCUUUUAUUGAUAGCUAGACUUUUCCUAGGUGCUUUGACAUCCUCUGUGUCAACCAUCCUAGAUAUAGCCAUUAUCCUUAUAUUCCAGAUGAAAGACUGAGGAUUUAGGUGGCUUUCCCAAAGCAAUGAAACGUGAAAGGAGUCACUGUUGAGAUGGCCCAGGUCCAUCUGAAUGAAACUUUUUGUUUUUAAUUUGGGAGUGCCCAAGCUAGACUAGCAGGGCUCCUGGCAAAUUUAUAAGCCAGGAGUUGCAGUCCAGAGUGUAAUCCCAGCACUUGGGAGGCAGAGGCAGGUGGAUCUCUGUGAGUUUGAGGGCAGCCUGGUCUACAAAGCAAGUUCCAGGACAGCCAGGGCUACACAGAGAAACGCUGUCUUGAAAAACAACAACAACAAAAAGAGAAUAAAGUCACACUGCCUGGCUUGAGACCCUGAAAAAAAAAAAAGAAGAAAGAAAGAAAGAAAAGGAAAGGAAAGGAAAGGAAAGGAAAUUGUAAGUCAUGUCUGGUGGCUCACACUUAUAAUCCCAACACUUAGGAGAAUGAAACAGGUGGAUUGCCAUGUGUUCCAGGGCUGCCCGGGAUAUAUAUUGAGUUCCAGGUCAACCUGAGCAAUAGAAUGAGACUGUCUCAAAAACAAAAAGAAUUUAAUAUAACCAGAUAAUAUGUAGAAAAAUGCAGUCACUUUAAAGGUCUGAAAAGAACCUCAACCUUAGAAUGAACAUAGAAAUUCAAAUAGUAACAAGACCUCUUUUUUUUUUAAGUUCACAAAUGUUUUGUCUAAUGUACACCACAUGCAUGCAUUACUCACGGAGGCCAGAAGAGGGCAUCGGGUCACCUGGAACUGGAAUUAAGUGGCUGAAUGGCCAAGGAGGUGAUGGGAAGCAAACUUAGUCCUCCUCAAAAGCAGCAAAUGAUCUAACCACGGUGCAUGCGUGUCUGCACACCAGAAAAGGGCAUGGGAUCCCAUGGGACUACAGUUAUAGAAGAUUGUGAGCUGCCAUGUGGGUGCUGGGACCUAAAAGAUACUUUUCUAAAGGGGGAGGUGGUGCUGGGUAUCAACCCCAGGCCCUUACAUAUGCUAAGCAAGCUCUCCAUCAUCAGUUACAGCCACAGGCCCGAUGAUGGGAUGAUGGUUUUGGGUUUUGUUUUGUUGUUUGUUUUUCUGAAACAGAGUUUCUCUGUGUAAUCCUGGCUAUUCUGGAACUCACUGUAUAGACCAGGCUGGCCUUCAACUCAGAGAUCCACCUGCCUCUGCCUCCUGAGUGCUGGGAUUAAAGACAUGAGCCAGCACUGCCCAGCUAACGGUUUUGGUUUUGUGUUUGUUUUUCUGUACUUUUCUGUUUGCAUGCAUGAGUACACAUACUUGUACAUGUUCAUGUGUGUGCACCUUCAUAUGGAGGAGGCCAGAGUUCUGUAUAAGGUGUCAUCUUUUUUUUUAAAGAUUUAUUUAUUUAUUAUGUAUACAAAACCAUCAUUACAGAUGGGUUUGAGCCACCAUGUGGGUGCUGGGAAUUGAACUCACGACCUCUGGAAGAGCAGUCAGUGCCCUUAACAUCUGAGCCAUAUCUCCAGCCCGGGUGUCAUCUUAAUAGUAUUCCACCUUAUAUUUUGACCCACUAUGUGGACCAGGGUCUCUUAUUGACCCUGGAGCUUCUAAAGUAGGCUAGGCUGGCUGGUCUGCAAGCCCCAGGGAUCUCCCUGUCUCUGCCUCCUCAGCACUGGAAUUAAAGAUGCUCACAUUGUACUCAGCGCUCCUAACACCACCACUUUGGGUUUUGUUUUUCUGAGAUAGGAUCUCCCUAUAUAGUCCAGGCUGGCAUGGAAUCCUCCUGCCUCUGCCUCUGUACGGGUAUGCGCCAGAAUGCCUAUCAUUUUUGAAUGAAUAAAGAACAUUUUUUUUGCUAGUCUAACGGGAUGUAUGCCUGUAAUCCCAGCACUUCAGAGUCUAAACAUGAAGAUCCAGAGUUCCAGGCCAACCUUGGCUGCCACAGUGAGACUCUGUCUCAAGAAAACAAGUUUUGUGUUUGUAGAAGGAUUUUAAGUUUUAGCAUAUAAUAUUAUAUUUAUUAUUGCUUUUUUUGUGUGUCUAAAUACUGAGCUACUAUUUUUUUUUCUUGGUUUUUCGAGACACUGAGCUAUUAUUUUUAACCUGUCAGAUUUUGUGUGAGGGAAUGAGUACUCUCAUAGUUUUUUUUUUUAGGUUUUUCUGUUUGUUUGGUUGGUUCACUGGUUUUUUGUUUUUUCAAGAGAAGGUUUCUCUGUGUAGCCCUGGCUGUCAUGGAAGUCACUCUGUAGACCAGACUGGACUUGAACUCUGAGGUCCACCUGCCUCUGCCUCCUGAGUACUGACAUUAAAGGUGUGCGCCACCACAACCACCUAGUACUCUCAUAGUUUGUAAGAAUACAAACCCAUACGGUGUUUUGGAGGGCCAUUUGGAGCGAACAUAUACAUUCCUUAAUGUUCUUAUCAAGUCCUUAGCAUCUCACUUCUAAGCAAGUGCUUUAAUAUACUCUCAACUCCACAGCAUCAUUUUGUAUUGAAACAAUUAGAAACAGCUACCCAAGCCAGGUGAUGGUGACACACACCUUCAAUCCCAGCUCUUGGGAGGCAGAGGAAGGCAGAUCUCUCUCUCUCUCUCUCUCUCUCUCUCUCUCUCUCUCUCUCUCUCUCUCUGGUUUUUCGAGACAGAGUUUCUCUCUGUAGCUUUGGAGCCUGUCCUGGACUAGCUCCGUAGACCAGGCUGGCCUGGAACUCACAGAGAUCCACCUGCCUCUGCCUCCCGAGUGCUGGGAUUACAGGCGUGCGCCACCAUCACCCGGCAGAUCUCUUGAGUUCGAAGCCAACCUGGUCUACAGAGUGAGUUCCAGGACAGCCAGAGCUACACAGAGAAACCCUGUCUCAAAAAACGAAGGAAAAAACAAAAUACAAAAAAAAAAAAAAAACCAAACCAACUGCUCAUGGACAGGAGGGGUAGCUUAUGAUCUAUGUUAUUCCACACAAUGGAAUUCCAUUUAUUUUGGUUUUGAGACAAACCUAACUGGCUCCAACGUGCUAUGUAGCCUGAGGAUAACCUUGAACUUCUGCUCAUCCUAUCCCCACCUCCUGCUGCUGAGAUUAGGGCCAUGGACCACCACAUCCAUUUUGGUGUUGCUGUUAUUUGUUAUUGUUUCUUUAGUGUCAUCAAAUUUUAUGAGAAAGCUUUAUAUUCACUGACACCUAAAAGUAAAGCUAAGUAUGGUUACACAUGCUUUUAAUGCUGGUACUAAGGAGGUAGAAGCAGGUGGAUUUCUGUGAGUUCCAGGCCAGUCAGUCAAGGUACAUAGUGAGAUCCUAUCUUAAAACAAAACAAAAUAAACAAACAAACAAAAAAAACCAUAAUUUGUAAGACAACAAGAAGGGAUGCUUUUCACCAUGUAUCCUGAGACAGAAAGUGAGGCUGGCCAUGUGGUCCAGUGGAUAGAGGCACCUGCCACAAGCCUCGUGACCUGAGUUCCAUCCCUGGAAUCCACAAGGUAGCAAGAGAGAACCCAUAUCCAAUAGUUGUCCUUGAAGUACCACAGGAAUACAUUGGAAAGGGUGCAUGCACAGGAACAUACAGGCACACACACAUAUACAGGCACACACACACAUACACACACACAUACACACAUAUACACACAUACACACAAAUAUACACACAUACACAUACAUACAUAUACACAUACAUACAUAUACACACACAUACACAUACACACAUAUAUACACGUACACACACAUACACAUACACACAUACACACAAAUAUACACACAUACAUACAUAUACACACACAUACACACAUAUAUACACGUACACACACAUACACAUACACACAUACACACAAAUAUACACACAUACAUACAUAUACACACACAUACACACAUAUAUACACUUAUACACACGUACACACACAUACAUACACAUACACACAUACAUACACACACACACACACACACACACACACACACACACACACACACACAAUGUCUGGAGGGAUGACUCAGGGAUUAAGAGCACUUGUUCUUGCAGAGGACACAGGGUUUGACUCCCAGCACCCACAGGGUGGUUCACAGCUGUCCUGUAACUCCAGUUCCAAGGGAUCCACUUCCCUUUUCUGACUUCUGAGGGUACCAGGCACACACAUGUCUUGUUUUUCGAUACAAGGUUUCUCUAGGUAGUCCUGGCUGUCCUGGAACUCACUCUGUAGACCAGGCUAGCCUCGAACUCAGAGAUCUGACUGCCUCUGCCUUCUAAGAAAUGAGAUUUAAGGUGUGCCCUGCCACUGCCUGGCAUUAAAAGAAAAUCCAAAAGAAAAAGAAUUUAAAGAGAAGUUGGGAUCAGUGAUGUAGUUUGGCAGUAUGUAGUGGGUAGCCGUUCCAGUUUUGACCUGGAAAUACCACCCCCUUUGAGACUUUGGCAACUGUCACGCCUACAAGACAGAGCCGAGAGAGGACCCCUGAAGACCCGGGAUCUGGAUGUGGGAGCUCUCUCGGUUCCUGGACCCUGGAUGCUGGAGGUAGACCCAGCAGAGUUCUUCAGAGAACACCGCCGGACUGCACUACACCUUUCCCAGACCCUGUUACCUAUCCCUUCACUUGUAAGUUACCCCACAAAAUAAACCUCCCUUUUAACCACG